CCGGCGGCUGCGCGGCUCCGAGGCAGCGCCGCUGCCGAGCGCGGAGAGCUGCGCCCUGCCCGGGGCCAGCGGGGGCGGCUCGCCCAGCUCUGCCAGCGGCAGUCCGCCCCCGGCAGCCAGAGCCUUGCCCGCAUCCUUCCUGCGAGCUGAGAGGGACAUCGGCGAGAGCUGGAGAGCCCCGGCUGGAGCCGUGCGGAGGGAGGGCUGCAACAGGGCAGAGGAGGAUGCUGAGACGCUCCUUUCUACAGCUGUACAGCACAGAAACAUUUCUGCAAGCUUGAAGCAAAGGGACUGUUACAUGGGAGGAAGCACUGAGCACUUCUGGGCAAGCAAGGAUCCAUUGCAAAGCACAUCCAGAAAAGGAAGACCUUUAUUCUCACUCAUGAGAAAGAUCUGUCAAGUCAGUGCGUGGUUUGAUUGAAUGAGAGCAGUGAAACUGCUCUCUGUGGUGGAAGAUUUUUAAAAAGAGAGAUGCCUAAAAUCAAGAGGAUGCAGAAAUGCCAGUUCUGUGUGCUCCUAACCAGGCUUGCAAUGCUGACAUAACACAUGGGGGGCAAAAAGGAAGAAAGAUGGAACAGAGAAAUUCGUGUGAAGGCUCUAAGGAGAAGGGAUGCUUUUGAGAUAGUAGCAGUGACACCAGGUGAACUGUAAUGAGUAACUCCCACUGCCAGGAAUGCUGUCCAGCCUUGGCAGGAACAUUCUCUGCAUUCAAUACAGGACACUAUUUGCCUCCUGACUUAGGGACUGGUUGAUACAGGGACACAUAAAAAUCAGGGUGUUUAAAAAUACAAAAAUACUUGAAUUGUUUUGAAUCUUCCUGAUUCACUUGAGCACACUGGACUAACAAAAGACACAGGCUUUGCCUCACAUGCAGUCUGGAUUCUUGCUUUGUAGAUAACCAUCUGCCCAGGAGUAGAUGACUGACAAGAAUCUUUUAAUGGAAGGACUGCAUUAAAUAUGUUUGUUCCUGCUCAAAUCCAAUGUAUGUAAAUUAUUCAUGCUAUAUAUGAAACAUAUAUAUAUAAGAAGUGAUUGCUCCCACUGUACACAUUCUUUGGAGUUGCAUGACGUGCACAAUUAAGGAUGACACAAGAAAAUUCAUCAAAGAAUAUUUAAAUAUACCUUAGGGAGCCACUAAAUUUUCUGAUGGUUUUACAGAAGGAAAACUAAUUGCAUCUGCACAAUACAACAGUUUUGUAAGGGUUGAGCUCAUCAAUGCUUUUGCUUUUUUCCCCGGUAAACAUUUAAAACAGUUUAUUUAAAUUGAUUUUAAAAAAAUCAGAAAUGACUGAAUGUUUUGAAUACAUUAAGGUUUCUACCACUUUAGGUAUACUUGUUCUUACUGACUUUCUGCAAUAUCAGCAAUGCAUAGAAAUUCUUGACCUAUCAAGGUGGCACCACAGUGGAUAAUAACAGGCAAUUAUUCUUACAAAGACCUUGCACUUCUUCUAAGACUUAAAAUUAAAGUCAA
rnacentral:lncRNA from 1 species